rnacentral:rRNA from 1 species
UACGAAGGGGGCUAGCGUUGCUCGGAAUCACUGGGCGUAAAGCGCACGUAGGCGGAUUGUUAAGUCAGGGGUGAAAUCCUGGAGCUCAACUCCAGAACUGCCUUUGAUACUGGCGAUCUUGAGUCCGGGAGAGGUGAGUGGAACUGCGAGUGUAGAGGUGAAAUUCGUAGAUAUUCGCAAGAACACCAGUGGCGAAGGCGGACUCACUGGCCCGGUACUGACGCUGACGGUGCGGAAAGCG